rnacentral:rRNA from 1 species
GCAAAACGCGAAGAACCUUACCUACUCUUGACAUCCAGAGAACUUUCCAGAGAUGGAUUGGUGCCUUCGAGAACUCUGAGACAGGUGCUGCAUGGCUGUCGUCAGCUCGUGUUGUGAAAUGUUGGGUUAAGUCCCGCAACGAGCGCAACCCUUAUCCUUUGUUGCCAGCGGUCCGGCCGGGAACUCAAAGGAGACUGCCAGUGAUAAACUGGAGGAAGGUGGGGAUGACGUCAAGUCAUCAUGGCCCUUACGAGUAGGGCUACACACGUGCUACAAUGGCGCAUACAAAGAGAAGCGACCUCGCGAGAGCAAGCGGACCUCAUAAAGUGCGUCGUAGUCCGGAUUGGAGUCUGCAACUCGACUCCAUGAAGUCGGAAUCGCUAGUAAUCGUAGAUCAGAAUGCUACGGUGAAUACGUUCCCGGGUCUUGUACACACCG